GCCAUUGGGGCAGGCUACACAUGCAGUCGAGCGCGAAAGUUCCUUCGGGAGCGAGUAGAGCGGCGGACGGGUGAGUAACGCGUGGGAAAUUGCCCAGUAGUGGGGGACAACAACCGGAAACGGUUGCUAAUACCGCAUACGCCCUACGGGGGAAAGCGGGGGAUCUUCGGACCUCGUGCUAUUGGAUAUGCCCGCGUCGGAUUAGCUUGUUGGUGAGGUAACGGCUCACCAAGGCGACGAUCCGUAGCUGGUCUGAGAGGAUGAUCAGCCACACUGGGACUGAGACACGGCCCAGACUCCUACGGGAGGCAGCAGUGGGGAAUAUUGCACAAUGGGCGCAAGCCUGAUGCAGCCAUGCCGCGUGUGUGAAGAAGGCCUUCGGGUUGUAAAGCACUUUCAGUAGGGAGGAAGGCCCUAAAGUUAAUACCUUUGGGGAUUGACGUUACCUACAGAAGAAGCACCGGCUAACUCCGUGCCAGCAGCCGCGGUAAU
rnacentral:rRNA from 1 species